UACGGGGGGGGCAAGCGUUGUUCGGAAUUACUGGGCGUAAAGGGCUUGUAGGUGGCCAACUAAGUCAGACGUGAAAGCCCCCGGCUUAACCGGGGAACUGCAUGGGAUACUGUUGGGCUAGAGUGCAGGAGGGGAGAGCGGAAUUCCUGGUGGAGCGGUGAAAUGCGUAGAUAUCAGGAGGAACGCCGGCGGCGAAAGCGACUCUCUGGCCUGUAACUGACGCUGAGGCGCGAAAGCUAGGGGAGCAAACCGG
rnacentral:rRNA from 1 species